AGUCAUAAGAUAUUAUUAGAUAUGAACGAUGGACAGUGUCAAGGUGGCAAAGAUAAUUAAUCCACCACAUUUCCUCCUCUUGAGUAGACAAUACUCAAAACCAGAAAUAGAAAAGGAAUAAUUAUUAAUUGUCUGCUCCAUAAGUGCAAAAAACAUCAAGUACAAGGAAAUAGUGCAAAUCAAAAUAACGACCAUAAAACAUUCAUUUCAAUAAAGCCAAAAACACAACAUGAAUAAAUCUUAAAGACAAAUAGAGCAUCAUUACACAUCAGAGAAAAAAAAUCGUUAGACAAGGUAUCUUAAACAAGUUCUGCCUCCCGGCGAAUACUUGAUGGAGCGCUCCACCUAUGUACCAUCAGAAUCUUAUCUCGGAUAGUGUGUUAAUUAAUAACAAGUUGUCAGGAAAUGAACCUUAAGUAAAGCAAAUUAGGACAAGACAGAACAACAAGAUG